rnacentral:rRNA from 1 species
AUUGGACGCUGGCGGCAGGCCUAACACAUGCAAGUCGAGCGGAUGAAGGGAGCUUGCUCCUGGAUUCAGCGGCGGACGGGUGAGUAAUGCCUAGGAAUCUGCCUGGUAGUGGGGGAUAACGUCCGGAAACGGGCGCUAAUACCGCAUACGUCCUGAGGGAGAAAGUGGGGGAUCUUCGGACCUCACGCUAUCAGAUGAGCCUAGGUCGGAUUAGCUAGUUGGUGGGGUAAAGGCCUACCAAGGCGACGAUCCGUAACUGGUCUGAGAGGAUGAUCAGUCACACUGGAACUGAGACACGGGCCAGAACCCCACGGGAGGCAGGAGUGGGGAAUAUUGGACAAUGGGCGAAAGCCUGAUCCAGCCAUGCCGCGUGUGUGAAGAAGGUCUUCGGAUUGUAAAGCACUUUAAGUUGGGAGGAAGGGCAGUAAGUUAAUACCUUGCUGUUUUGACGUUACCAACAGAAUAAGCACCGGCUAACUUCGU